UUUGCUCAAAUUGUAUAACUAUACAGAAUCAAGAAAAAGAAAAUUAAGCUUCUAUCUACAUCAUCUAACAUGGUAUGGUUGUUAGAUUCUGUAUAUGGAAAGCUUUUUGAAAUACGUCAAAUUUGAGAUUCCUAGUUUGAACUUUGAACCAGAGUUAUAUUUUCUGUUCUUACGUGUUUUUUUAUAUUAGAAUUAUUAGCUGGAAAGAGAAUUUUGUUACAUUAAGCAGGAGCUAAAUGCUUGAUCCCAAUUUUAAUAAUAGUAGUUAUCAUUGCAACACAUUCUAGAUCAAUGUUUUGAGUUUACUAGCAAAGAUAUAAUUGACGACUUAGGUCCAUCCAUGUCAGUUUUCAAGGAUUUCAGUUUAGCAUGCAAUUUAGAUAAAAUAGUAUUAAUGAAUUCUUGAAAUAAAGAACUCUCUUUAAUAAAAAUCUGCAUUGCUGGGUCUAAAGUGUAAGCAAGGAAGCACAUGGCAUAAGGAAAUAGUGACUAUUCUUCAUCGUUUAGCAUUCUUAAAUAAAAUCAAUGGAGCCAAUUAAUAGGCUUAGCACUAUGCAUUAUUCAUCUUUGGAAACCCUGUUAAGUGAAUGUCAGCAUGUUUAAAAGAAUGUACGAGUCUUGUAGUUCAGGUAAUGAGAUUAAAAUUAUUUUAUAAGAGAUUAUAAAGAAGGGAGAGUGGAUAUAUGGUUAUAUUAAUUUGUUAGUUCUCUAUUUUACUCUCAAUCCCUGUUUAUGCAUAAUUUCUUCAGCUCAAGUGUCAUUCAUCUUUUUUACUUUGCAAUUUGAUAUUGGAAUCCAUUUUUUGCACUUUCAAAAUCAGUUCAUGGAUUUUUCUGUGCUCAAUGAAAGUUUUAUAGGAGUUAAGAAUAAAUACGCAUACACCUAAGUGGUGGAUCCCAAUGCAAGCUUUUCUACAGGUAUCUAUUUAUUUAUUUAUAAAUUACUAAAGCUUAAUUUUUGUGUUUAAUCAUACUGGAUUUGUGUGUUUGAGUUGUUAGAUAUGAAGGUCUAGUUAAGUAUACUUUGAAGAACAACUAUCAUAUAAGCAAUGUAUUCUACAUUGGACUUGCCUUUGUCCUUAAAGAAGAAAGGGGUAUCGAAAUGGAAGAAGAAAAAGAUUAUGGUUGGAUAAUUACUUUUGUUCACAAUGAAGACACUAACUUACCACAAAUGGAUCACCCUGAUGGUUGUUCGUUCAUGGAAUAGAAAUGGGCUUGAGGACAUCUUAAAAGAGCCUCCAUCAGAGAACUUAGAAGUUCUUCCUUCACCAUAUCUCUCUCUUUCACUUAUAAGUAUUGUCAAAAUUACUAGGUAUUUGUUCAUAGAACUAUCCUAACUAACCUUAGGAGAUUCAACUAAUCUAGACAUUUUUAUUUUAUAUGUAUAUUUCUCAGAGCAAACAUUAGUCUUGAGAAUAUGUAGAAGUUUAACAUUGAAUUUUAUCCACUUGAUUGUGUUAAGCUACUUAU